CCCUUAGAUGUUCUGGGCCGCACGCGCGCUACACUGAAUGGAUCAACGUGUUUUCCCUUCCCGAGAGGGACGGGUAACCCGCUGAACCCCAUUCGUGGUAGGGAUCGGAGCUUGCAAUUGUUCUCCGUGAACCAGGAAUUCCCAGUAAGCGCAAGUCAUAAGCUUGCGUUGAUUACGUCCCUGCCCUUUGUACACACCGCCCGUCGCUCCUACCGAUUGAAUGGUCCGGUGAAGCGUUCGGGCCGUGGCCUUUGGACGGUUCGCCGUCUGUUGGCUGCGGGAAGUUCGUUAAACCUUAUCAUUUAGAGGAAGGAGAANUCGUANCA
rnacentral:rRNA from 1 species